AGCUCUAGAAGCUUUAUCAGAUAUAUUACAGACAUGCUUAUUCCAAGAUAGAUUUUUUGUUAAUGUUACACCAAGAAACUUGGCUUCAGCUACUACAGGCAGUAUGCUACCAUUAUAAUUAAUAUUAGCAUGCAAAGUUCUUGAUCUACUGAAUAUAACAACUUUAGUUUUAUCUAAACUAAUAUCUAAUUGUAAAUAUUUAAAAUAAACAUUUAAUUUCUUUAGAGCUUUGUUUAUUUUAUUUUCUACUAUAUGAAUAUUUGAGCCUGAACAGUAAACUGCUAAAUCAUCAGCAAACUGUAAAUUGCUGACUUCAUUACCAAGAAUAAUAUUAAUUUUAUGAAUAUACAAAAUAAAUAACAGUGGACUCAAUAUUCCCCCUUGACAUACACCUAUAUAUGAAGAUUGUGGACCAUAUAAAUUAUUAUUGUACUUAACAUAGACUUGUCUAUUAUGUAGGAAAUUAAAAAUCCAGUUAAUCAACUUAUCUGGUAUUCCUAGUGUUUGCAGUUCAUUAGUUAGAAUAUGAUGAUUAACAUUGUUAAAAGCACCAACUAUAUCAAAGAAGACAGAAACCAGUAUAUUGUUACUAGAAAAAGCACGAUGAAUAUCUAGGUUUAAAUGAUUUAAGCUCUCUGUAGCUGAAAAACCUUUCCUGAAGCCAAACUGAUUUGAAGAUAACUGAUAGAGGAGUUUGCCGAUUGAUCGACUCACAGAAUUUUAACCAGCUGGCAUUUCUUUCGUUUUUGAGAUGUUACAUAAAAGGUGGGUGAUGGUUGGAAGAUGAUAGCUCCCUAAAGGAUUAUCAUGUACAGACCAAUUGCAUCGGAGUGACAGAGAGGCAGAAACAAUUGUAAGAUCCAGAGCACUUGGACUCCAUAUAUCAGAGCCUACAGUAGUGGGUUGACCAUUAUUAAUUAUACAAAGAUCAUUGUCUUCAAUAGUAUUAAGAAGAAUAGUGCCUCUAGAAUCGGUUCUAGAGCAACCCCAAGUGGUAUUGUGGGCGUUAAAGUCACCCGCUAUUAUCAUAGGUGACGGGAUAGAUUUAAAUAAGUUAUCUAAAUGUAAAUGUGUAAAGUUACGUGACGUUGCGGAUGUAGGGCUGUAAAAACUAACAAAAGAAAUUGUUUCAUUUUUCAAAUAUAAUUUUAAAGCGAUAUUUUGCAAAGAAUCAUCGUGAUAUGUAUUUAAUCUGUCAUAAUUCAAUUUGUUUUGUAUUAGAAUGGCUACACCAUUAUGAUUAUUACCAAUGUCUAAUCUUUCUAUAUUGUAACCUUUGAUAUUAAAGUUUUUGAAAGGCUUUAGCCAAGUUUCAGAAAGAAGGGCGAUAUGUAUAUUGUUGUUAUAUAAAAAAUAAGUAAAAGCAAGUCUAUUAUUUAUCAAGCUCUGGGCAUUCCACUCGAUAAUAUUUAAAAUAUUAUCCAUUAAAGAGAUACUAUUAAUUAGUGUUAGUACUGGAAAUCUUAAAAGUAUCUAAAAUUAUGUUUUUUAUGCCUUCUGAGUUUAAGGGAGAGUCAUCUGUUUUAUUAACAGAAAUAAUUUUAAUAACUGAUGCAAUGAUUAGUUUUAAAA